GGCUCCAUAGCUCAGGGGUUAGAGCACUGGUCGUGUAAACCAGGGGUCGCGAGAUCUGAACUGGGGCCU